rnacentral:misc_RNA from 1 species
UCUCCGUUGGUGAACCAGCGGAGGGAUCAUUACCGAGUGCAAACUCAUAACCCUUUGUGAACCUAUAUCUGUUGCUUCGGCGGCUCGCUCUCGGGCGAGCCCGCCGGUAAUAUCAGUAUCUCUGUUUGAACCCGACGAUACUUCUGAGCGUUCUUAGCGAACAGUUAAAACUUUUAACAACGGAUCUCUUGGCUCUA